CCUAGUUUCCCCAAACUCUAUACAAUCACAUGCUGUAUUCUCCUACAAUUUUAGCCAAGAUUGAGAAGACCGGACUGAAGAUCCGCUGAAAAAAGAAAGCCAGCAAGAAAGGGAUGCAAACCAAAAAUCUAAGUGACGGAAGAGAGAAUACUCUGCUUUAAGGAAGGACAUGCACUGGUGGAAAAUCUCAACAAUGGGGGGGUGUGGGGGAGGGGAGGGAACCUUCGUGCAAGCUGUGACGCAGGCACUUUGAUCUCUUAAAGCUGGGAUUUCUGUUAAACUAAAUUUGUAUACAAAGUGGAUUAUUCCUCCUAUCAUUUUAAUAAGAAUAUGAAAACCUAGCAACAUGUAAUGUUUUCAUGGGAGACUUGAGGCUCUGUCUUCCUAAAAUACAUUUAUUGGUAUUCGUGAUGCAAUAUGUAAAUAUCAUAAAAAUAAAUAUCCACAGUCUCAUCCA